rnacentral:rRNA from 1 species
ACGCUGGCGGCAUGCUUUACACAUGCAAGUCGAACGCCAGCGCGGGGAGCUUGCUCCCUGGCGGCGAGUGGCGCACGGGUGAGUAAUACAUCGGAACGUGUCUUCUAGUGGGGGAUAACUGCCCGAAAGGGCAGCUAAUACCGCAUGAGACCUGAGGGUGAAAGCGGGGGAUCGCAAGACCUCGCGCUGGAAGAGCGGCCGAUGUCCGAUUAGCUAGUUGGUGAGGUAAAGGCUCACCAAGGCGACGAUCGGUAGCUGGUCUGAGAGGACGACCAGCCACACUGGGACUGAGACACGGCCCAGACUCCUACGGGAGGCAGCAGUGGGGAAUUUUGGACAAUGGGGGCAACCCUGAUCCAGCCAUGCCGCGUGCAGGAUGAAGGUCUUCGGAUUGUAAACUGCUUUUGUCAGGGACGAAAAGGGAUGCGAUAACACCGCAUUCCGCUGACGGUACCUGAAGAAUAAGCACCGGCUAACUACGUGCCAGCAGCCGCGGUAAUACGUAGGGUGCAAGCGUUAAUCGGAAUUACUGGGCGUAAAGCGUGCGCAGGCGGUUCUGUAAGAUAGAUGUGAAAUCCCCGGGCUCAACCUGGGAAUUGCAUAUAUGACUGCAGGACUUGAGUUUGUCAGAGGAGGGUGGAAUUCCACGUGUAGCAGUGAAAUGCGUAGAUAUGUGGAAGAACACCGAUGGCGAAGGCAGCCCUCUGGGACAUGAC